rnacentral:misc_RNA from 1 species
GUUGGUGAACCUGCGGAAGGAUCAUUAUUGAAUGAACUUGGUGUGGUUGUUGCUGGCCCUUUCGGGGGCAUGUGCACACCCAUCAUCCUCAUCUCUCCACCUGUGCACCUCUUGUAGACUUGGAUUGACUUUCCGAGGCAACUCGGUCGGGAGGACUUGCUGGCAUUAGCUGGCUUUCCUUGCAUUUCCAAGUCUAUGUUUUUUCAUAUACCCCAUUGAAUGUAACAGAAUGUAACAUAUUGGGCCUUUGUGCCUAUAAAAACUUAUACAACUUUCAGCAACGGAUCUCUUGGCUCUC